rnacentral:rRNA from 1 species
CCUACGGGAGGCAGCAGUGAGGAAUAUUUGUCAAUGGACGAGAGUCUGAACCAGCCAAGUAGCGUGAAGGAUGACUGCCCUAUGGGUUGUAACCUUCUUUUAUAAAGGAAUAAAACGAGGCACGUGUGCCUUUUUGCAUGUACUUUAUGAAUAAGGAUCGGCUAACUCCGUGUCAGCAGCCGCGGUAAUACGGAGGAUCCGAGCGUUAUCCGGAGUUAUUGGGGUUAAAGGGAGCGUAGAUGGGUUGUUAAGUCAGUUGUGAAAGUUUGCGGCUCAACCGUAAAAUUGCAAUUGAUACUGGCAGUCUUGAGUACAGUUGAGGUAGGCGGAAUUCGUGGUGUAGCGGUGAAAUGCUUAGAUAUCACGAAGAACCCCGAUUGCGAAGGCAGCUUACUAAACUGUGACUGACAUUGAUGCUCGAAAGUGUGGGUAUCAAACAGGAUUAGAUACCCGGGUAGUC